rnacentral:rRNA from 1 species
UUAUAUGGUCAAGAAGAGAAGCGCAAACGGUGGAUGCCUUGGCAGUAAGAGGCGAAGAAGGACGUGGAAUCCUGCGAAAAGCUAUGGGGAGCUGGAAACGAGCGUUGAGCCAUAGAUGUCCGAAUGGGGGAACCCGGCUGCAGCGAUGCGGUCAUUUGCAUUUGAAUACAUAGGAUGCAAAGGCGAACUCGGGGAACUGAAACAUCUAAGUACCCGAAGGAAAAGAAAUCAAGAGAGAUUCUCCAAGUAGCGGCGAGCGAACGGGGAGGAGCCUGGCGUGAUUUAUUAUUGAACUGAGUAGAACAAUUUGGGAAAGUUGGCCGAAGAGGGUGAAAGCCCCGUAUACGAAGGUUUGAUGAGGAACUAGGCACGCGAACAAGUAGGCCGGGACACGUGAAAUCCUGGUUGAAGAUGGGUGGACCAUCAUCCAAGGCUAAAUACUACUUACUGACCGAUAGUGAACCAGUACCGUGAGGGAAAGGUGAAAAGAACCCCGGAGAGGGGAGUGAAAUAGAAUCUGAAACCGUUUGCGUACAAGCAGUGGGAGCAUGGUUUAGGCUGUGUGACUGCGUACCUUUUGUAUAAUGGGUCAGCGAGUUACUUUCAGUGGCGAGGUUAACUGAAUAAGGGAGCCGUAGAGAAAUCGAGUCUGAAUAGGGCGAUAGUCGCUGGGAGUAGACCCGAAACCGGGCGAUCUAGCCAUGUGCAGGAUGAAGGUUGGGUAACACCAACUGGAGGUCCGAACCGGGUAAUGUUGAAAAAUUAUCGGAUGACGUGUGGCUAGGAGUGAAAGGCUAAUCAA